GAAUAGUGCAGGGGGUGCUCCGUCGGGAGCUGAGAAAGAAUCAUCUUAACCCUUAGAACCUGAUCUGGUUAACACCAGCGUAGGGAUGCUGAAGACUGUCCGC
rnacentral:ncRNA from 2 species